GUGGUAGUAUGGCUCCCAGGCUUCGACGGGUAGCCGGCCUGAGAGGGUGACCGGCCACACUGGGACUGAGACACGGCCCAGACUCCUACGGGAGGCAGCAGUGGGGAAUAUUGGACAAUGGGCGAAAGCCUGAUCCAGCAACGCCGCGUGAGGGAUGACGGCCUUCGGGUUGUAAACCUCUUUCAGCAGGGACGAAGCGAAAGUGACGGUACCUGCAGAAGAAGGACCGGCCAACUACGUGCCAG
rnacentral:rRNA from 1 species